UUAUGAUUCCAUAGUCACACAAUGUGCAUCCAUCAUAUGCUAACUUGGGUCCAACCUUGUUACCAGACAUUCUUGACCAUUUUGGUCCUACCUCCUUUCUAAGCCUAGUAGAUCUUGAUCUUGUGGUCGGUCGAUGCUGACCCAAGAAUCCUUACUCUAGUCAAACUUUGUCACCGUGGUAGACCUCAGUUUCUUUCUAACUCUAAUAUUAAUCCUCACCGCUGAAUAAGGUUUAUAUUAAGUCACAUGCACACAAAUAGACAAACCAAUGACAUAUAUAUCACAACCUGACCCUUAUU
rnacentral:lncRNA from 1 species